GUCGAGGGUGGAGCAAAUACUCAAAAAUAAACGUCUCAGUUCGGAUUGUAGUCUGCAACUCGACUACAUGAAGCUGGAAUCGCUAGUAAUCGCGAAUCAGAAUGUCGCGGUGAAUACGUUCCCGGGUCUUGUACACACCGCCCGUCACACCAUGGGAGUUGGCAACACCCGAAGUCGGUAGUCUAACCGCAAGGAGGACGCCGCCGAAGGUGGGGUUGAUGAUUAGGGUUAAGUCGUAACAAGGUAUC
rnacentral:rRNA from 1 species